UAGGACCUGCUGGAACUUCCAUUUUUAACCC
rnacentral:piRNA from 1 species